AGUCGAGCGAAUCGAUGGGAGCUUGCUCCCUGAGAUUAGCGGCGGACGGGUGAGUAACACGUGGGCAACCUGCCUAUAAGACUGGGAUAACUUCGGGAAACCGGAGCUAAUACCGGAUACGUUCUUUUCUCGCAUGAGAGAAGAUGGAAAGACGGUUUACGCUGUCACUUAUAGAUGGGCCCGCGGCGCAUUAGCUAGUUGGUGAGGUAAUGGCUCACCAAGGCGACGAUGCGUAGCCGACCUGAGAGGGUGAUCGGCCACACUGGGACUGAGACACGGCCCAGACUCCUACGGGAGGCAGCAGUAGGGAAUCUUCCGCAAUGGACGAAAGUCUGACGGAGCAACGCCGCGUGAACGAAGAAGGCCUUCGGGUCGUAAAGUUCUGUUGUUAGGGAAGAACAAGUACCAGAGUAACUGCUGGUACCUUGACGGUACCUAACCAGAAAGCCACGGCUAACUACGUGCCAGCAGCCGCGGUAAUACGUAGGUGGCAAGCGUUGUCCGGAAUUAUUGGGCGUAAAGCGCGCGCAGGUGGUUCCUUAAGUCUGAUGUGAAAGCCCACGGCUCAACCGUGGAGGGUCAUUGGAAACUGGGGAACUUGAGUGCAGAAGAGGAAAGUGGAAUUCCAAGUGUAGCGGUGAAAUGCGUAGAGAUUUGGAGGAACACCAGUGGCGAAGGCGACUUUCUGGUCUGUAACUGA
rnacentral:rRNA from 1 species